UGACAGGUGCUGCAUGGCUGUCGUCAGCUCGUGUCGUGAGAUGUUGGGUUUAAGUCCCGCAACGAGCGCAACCCUCGUCCUUAGUUGCCAUCAUUAAGUUGGGCACUUUUAAAGAGACUGCCGGUGUCAAACCGGAGGAAGGUGGGGUGACGUCAAGUCCUCAUGGCCUUUGUGACCAGGGCUACACACGUACUACAAUGGCCGGUACAAAGGGCAGCCACUUAGCGAUAAGGAGCCAAUCCCGUAAAGCCGGUCUCAGUCCGGAUUGGAGUCUGCAACUCGACUCCAUGAAGUUGGAAUCGCUAGUAAUCGCAGAUCAGCACGCUGCGGUGAAUACGUUCCCGGGCCUU
rnacentral:rRNA from 1 species